ensembl:misc_RNA Metazoa_SRP Metazoan signal recognition particle RNA
GCCAGGUGUGGUGGCCUGUGCCUGUAGUCCCAGCUAGUCGGGACACUGAGGCUGGAGGAUCGCUUGAGUCCAGGAGUUCUGGGCUGUCGCGUGCUAUGCUGAUUAGGUGUCCGCACUAAGUUUGGCAUCAAUAUAGUGACCUCUUGGGAACAGGGGACCACCAGGUUGCCUAAGGAGGAGGGGUGAACCGCCCAGAUCAGAAAUGGAGCAGGUCAGAACUUCUGUGCUGAUCACUAGUGGGAUCUCACCUGUGAAUAGACACGGUACUCCAGCCUGCGAAACAUAGCGAGACCCCAUCUCUU